rnacentral:rRNA from 1 species
CGUGCUUAAACAUGCAAGUCGAACGAUGAAGCCCUUCGGGGUGGAUUAGUGGCGAACGGGUGAGUAACACGUGGGCAAUCUGCCCUUCACUCUGGGACAAGCCCUGGAAACGGGGUCUAAUACCGGAUAACACCGGCUUCCGCAUGGGAGCUGGUUAAAAGCUCCGGCGGUGAAGGAUGAGCCCGCGGCCUAUCAGCUUGUUGGUGGGGUAAUGGCCUACCAAGGCGACGACGGGUAGCCGGCCUGAGAGGGCGACCGGCCACACUGGGACUGAGACACGGCCCAGACUCCUACGGGAGGCAGCAGUGGGGAAUAUUGCACAAUGGGCGAAAGCCUGAUGCAGCGACGCCGCGUGAGGGAUGACGGCCUUCGGGUUGUAAACCUCUUUCAGCAGGGAAGAAGCGAAAGUGACGGUACCUGCAGAAGAAGCGCCGGCUAACUACGUGCCAGCAGCCGCGGUAAUACGUAGGGCGCAAGCGUUGUCCGGAAUUAUUGGGCGUAAAGAGCUCGUAGGCGGCUUGUCACGUCGGGUGUGAAAGCCCGGGGCUUAACCCCGGGUCUGCAUCCGAUACGGGCAGGCUAGAGUGUGGUAGGGGAGAUCGGAAUUCCUGGUGUAGCGGUGAAAUGCGCAGAUAUCAGGAGGAACACCGGUGGCGAAGGCGGAUCUCUGGGCCAUUACUGACGCUGAGGAGCGAAAGCGUGGGGAGCGAACAGGAUUAGAUACCCUGGUAGUCCACGCCGUAAACGUUGGGAACUAGGUGUUGGCGACAUUCCACGUCGUCGGUGCCGC